rnacentral:rRNA from 1 species
UGCUUAACACAUGCAAGUCGAACGGAAAGGCCCUGCUUUUGUGGGGUGCUCGAGUGGCGAACGGGUGAGUAACACGUGAGUAACCUGCCCUUGACUUUGGGAUAACUUCAGGAAACUGGGGCUAAUACCGGAUAGGAGCUCCUGCUGCAUGGUGGGGGUUGGAAAGUUUCGGCGGUUGGGGAUGGACUCGCGGCUUAUCAGCUUGUUGGUGGGGUAGUGGCUUACCAAGGCUUUGACGGGUAGCCGGCCUGAGAGGGUGACCGGCCACAUUGGGACUGAGAUACGGCCCAGACUCCUACGGGAGGCAGCAGUGGGGAAUAUUGCACAAUGGGCGGAAGCCUGAUGCAGCAACGCCGCGUGCGGGAUGACGGCCUUCGGGUUGUAAACCGCUUUCGCCUGUGACGAAGCGUGAGUGACGGUAAUGGGUAAAGAAGCACCGGCUAACUACGUGCCAGCAGCCGCGGUGAUACGUAGGGUGCGAGCGUUGUCCGGAUUUAUUGGGCGUAAAGGGCUCGUAGGUGGUUGAUCGCGUCGGAAGUGUAAUCUUGGGGCUUAACCCUGAGCGUGCUUUCGAUACGGGUUGACUUGAGGAAGGUAGGGGAGAAUGGAAUUCCUGGUGGAGCGGUGGAAUGCGCAGAUAUCAGGAGGAACACCAGUGGCGAAGGCGGUUCUCUGGGCCUUUCCUGACGCUGAGGAGCGAAAGCGUGGGGAGCGAACAGGCUUAGAUACCCUGGUAGUCCACGCUGUAAACGGUGGGUACUAGGUGUGGGGUCCAUUCCCACGGGUUCCGUGCCGUAGCUAACGCUUUAAGUACCCCGCCUGGGGAGUACGGCCGCAAGGCUAAAACUCAAAGGAAUUGACGGGGCCCCGCACAAGCGGCGGAGCAUGCGGAUUAAUUCGAUGCAACGCGUAGAACCUUACCUGGGUUUGACAUGGAUCGGGAGUGCUCAGAGAUGGGUGUGCCUCUUUUGGGGUCGGUUCACAGGUGGUGCAUGGCUGUCGUCAGCUCGUGUCGUGAGAUGUUGGGUUAAGUCCCGCAACGAGCGCAACCCUUGUUCACUGUUGCCAGCACGUUAUGGUGGGGACUCAGUGGAGACCGCCGGGGUCAACUCGGAGGAAGGUGGGGAUGACGUCAAGUCAUCAUGCCCCUUAUGUCCAGGGCUUCACGCAUGCUACAAUGGCUGGUACAGAGAGUGGCGAGCCUGUGAGGGUGAGCGAAUCUCGGAAAGCCGGUCUCAGUUCGGAUUGGGGUCUGCAACUCGACCUCAUGAAGUCGGAGUCGCUAGUAAUCGCAGAUCAGCAACGCUGCGGUGAAUACGUUCCCGGGGCUUGUACACACCGCCCGUCAAGUCAUGAAAGUUGGUAACACCCGAAGCCGGUGGCCUAACCGAUGUGGGGGAGCCGUCGAAGGUGGGACUGGUGAUUAGGACUAA